GAUGAACGCUGGCGGCGUGCCUAAUACAUGCAAGUCGAGCGAACGGACGAGAAGCUUGCUUCUCUGAUGUUAGCGGCGGACGGGUGAGUAACACGUGGAUAACCUACCUAUAAGACUGGGAUAACUUCGGGAAACCGGAGCUAAUACCGGAUGAUAUUUUGAACCGCAUGGUUCAAAAGUGAAAGACGGUCUUGCUGUCACUUAUAGAUGGAUCCGCGCUGCAUUAGCUAGUUGGUAAGGUAACGGAUUACCAAGGCAACGAUGCAUAGCCGACCUGAGAGGGUGAUCGGCCACACUGGAACUGAGACACGGUCCAGACGCCUACGGGAGGCAGCAGUAGGGAAUCUUCCGCAAUGGGCGAAAGCCUGACGGAGCAACGCCGCGUGAGUGAUGAAGGUCUUCGGAUCGUAAAACUCUGUUAUUAGGGAAGAACAUAUGUGUAAGUAACUGUGCACAUCUUGACGGUACCUAAUCAGAAAGCCACGGCUAACUACGUG
rnacentral:rRNA from 1 species